AUUGAACGCUGGCGGCAUGCUUUACACAUGCAAGUCGAACGGCAGCGCGGGCUUCGGCCUGGCGGCGAGUGGCGAACGGGUGAGUAAUACAUCGGAACGUGCCCAGUAGUGGGGGAUAGCUCGGCGAAAGCCGGAUUAAUACCGCAUACGACCUGAGGGUGAAAGCGGGGGAUCUUCGGACCUCGCGCUAUUGGAGAUGCCGGUGGCAGUUUAGCUAGUUGGUGGGGUAAGGGCCACCGAGGCGACGAUUUGGUGGUGGUCUGAGAAGACGACCAGCCACACUAGAACUGAGACACGGCCCAGACUCCUACGGGAGGCAGCAGUGGGGAAUUUUGGACAAUGGGCGAAAGCCUGAUCCAGCAAUGCCGCGUGUGUGAUGAAGGCCUUCGGGUUGUAAAGCACUUUUGGCGGGAACGAAAAGGACUGUGCCAAUACCACGGUUCGAUGACGGUACCCGCAGAAUAAGCACCGGCUAACUACGUG
rnacentral:rRNA from 1 species